UACGGAGGGUGCAAGCGUUGUUCGGAAUCACUGGGCGUAAAGCGCGUGUAGGCGGCCUUCUCAGUCUGGUGUGAAAGCCCGGGGCUCACCCCCGGAAGUGCAUUGGAUACUGGAAGGCUGGAGUACCGGAGAGGAGGGUGGAAUUCCUGGUGUAGCGGUGAAAUGCGUAGAUAUUAGGAGGAACACCAGUGGCGAAGGCGGCCCCCUGGUUCGAUACUGACGCUGAGGUGCGAAAGCGUGGGUAGCAAACAGG
rnacentral:rRNA from 1 species